rnacentral:rRNA from 1 species
AUACGUAGGUGACAAGCGUUAUCCGGAUUUACUGGGCGUAAAGGGCGUGUAGGCGGUCUUGCAAGUCAGAAGUGAAAUUCCUGAGCUCAACUCGGGCGCUGCUUCUGAAACUGCAGGACUUGAGUGCUGGAGGGGAUAGCGGAAUUCCUAGUGGAGCGGUAAAAUGCGCAGAUAUUAGGAAGAACACCGGUGGCGAAGGCGGCUAUCGAGACAGUAACUGACGCUGAAGCGCGAAAGCGUGGGGAGCAAACAGGAUAAUCUGCCCGGUGAGUCCACGCCGUAAACGAUGAAUACUAGGUGUAGGGGGUAUCGACUCCCUCUGUGCCGCAGUUAACACAAUAAGUAUUCCGCCUGGGGAGUACGGCCGCAAGGUUGAAACUCAAAUUAAUUGACGGGG